GUGAAAAAGGAAGAAAGGGAGAGCGUAGGACUCCCCUUCAGGCAUCCCAACAAGUCUGGACUGUUCUGCUGCUGCUUGUGUUCAGUUCAACGCGUUUACGUCUCCUGAAGGGAUGCAGCGACAGAAGUUCACUUAUUGAGCUACAGUGGAUCAUUGCCUUCUGUUUUUUUUGCAGCUGUGACUUUGGACACGGGUGACUGGGAAUACUUCUGUGAUUUCCAGACAGUGCACGGAGAGCUAGGGCUGGAUAUGCCACAGGUGGAAAGGUGAGGAGCGGCAGGCUGUGGCCCCGGUGCACGGAGCAGACUUCCCCAGGUUUGUGAAGAUGGGGACCUGGUUUUUCACUGUGACUGUCCUGCUGUUCUCCAUGAAACAGGCUGAAGCUCAUGGCAGGUGUAAUAAUGUGCAAGCAGCAGAUAUUGUUUUCCUGGUUGACGGGUCUUCCAGUGUUGGCCGAGCAAACUUUCUUCUGGUGAAAGGCUUUAUGGCUGGAAUCGUCAAACCAUUUGCCAGCUUUGUCAGCAAGACAGGGAUACGGUUUGGUGCAAUACAAUACAGCGAGACCUCCAGGUGACUGAAAGGAUUAAU